rnacentral:tRNA from 1 species
AUUAUUUUAGUAUAAUAAUUAUUACAAUUAACUUCCAAUUAAUAGAACUUAAUAAAGAUUUAAUA